GACGGAGGAUGCAAGUGUUAUCCGGAAUCACUGGGCGUAAAGCGUCUGUAGGUGGUUUAAAAAGUCCACUGUUAAAAAUUGAAGCUUAACUUCAAAGAUGCAAUGGAAACUUUUAAACUUGAGUAUGGUAGGGGUAGAGGGAAUUUCCAGUGGAGCGGUGAAAUGCGUAGAUAUUGGAAAGACCACCAACGGCGAAGGCACUCUACUGGGCCAUUACUGACACUGAGAGACGAAAGCUAGGGGAGCAAAUGGG
rnacentral:rRNA from 1 species